UAGGAGGAAUAUAAUAUUGAAGAAAUAAAUCUUACAGUCGUUAAUCAGACAAGAUUCAAAGAAAUAAAUCACAAAGGAAACAGCGAAACAUCGGCUUCAAGCGGAUGCAUAAAGGAAAUGAACAUGGGCUAAGGAUGUUGCUAUUUCCACCAGCUGGACAGAGAAGCUGGAGAACUGGAGACAAAAGAAAUGUGUGAGCUGAGGAAGAAAUGGGCAUGGACAUACUAGCAUUUACAAGUGACUGACUGCAGAAUGGUUGAGGACUUUAUUAGGACAUCUGCUGGGGGAUUCAUUGGCAAAUGAUUGUCAAAGAAAGGCUGCUCAGGCAAAGGCCUGGGAGUAGGAUUACAGCUUUAAAACAAAAUCUAAAGGACUUUCAUUUCUGCAGCUUGGUGAAAAUUUUGCAGGGAAACAUUUUCUGAGCAGCGAAUGUCAAUUCACAUACAGAAACACUUUGCUGGAUUUUGCCAGUUUCUGUGAAGUUUUGUUCAGAAAAAAAUAGUUCUUGUCGGGUUUCACCAAAGAAGAAACUGCAGACGGAGCUGGGCUGCCGUGAAUUGAGAAAGAUGGGCGUGAAAGGGGAAAAAAAGUACAAAAUCAGAUAACUCGAGGAGGAAAAAAAGAAAAAUUUAUCUCU
rnacentral:lncRNA from 1 species